UUUUAUCCGCAUUUAUUUAUGCUUAAAAAUAUAUAAUUUGCAAUAUACUUAUUAAUUAUUUUUAAUGCUGAAUGAAAUCGAUCGUGUAAACAUGCCUUUUUGUCAUAGACAAUAUCUUUUCUAAGGUUGAUCUAUGUGCGUGCGCUCGUAUAAUGCAACAAAAUUGAAAAUACGUCCUACGAACCCUAACAACAUGCAUAACGCAGCCUACGCGAUUUAGUCGGCUUGUGGCUAACUUUGUUAAGGUUCCCCAUAGAUGGCAUGACUAACUAGAAUCAAAUUAAUUUAAUAGAAAGCAAAAAAUUUAGUUUUGAGGUCUUAAAUAUAUAUAUUUUAUAUUAAUUUGAAUAAUAAAGACACAUUAACCAAUUAGUAAAUUAAAAUAAUCGAUUCUAUCACGUCACACCGUACCAUUCUAGACUGUGUCAAAUCUUACAAAGAAAUUUUGCCCCUGGCAGCUCUAGGCUCUGUCACUUUAUUUACUUCCGUUCAUUUAGUUUCGUAUUAGUAGUUUUUUAUACAUCAUUCAUUUUCCUUGCCUACAAUUUGUUAUUAAAUCCGAAAAUUAUUAAUUAAAGUCAACAAUACCAAAGUUACCUCAACUACCAGUGUCACAGUGAUUUAACACCUUAAUAAGUAGACAAGUGACAAACAUCCAACCACCAUAUUGUAAUUCAUCAAGUUGCAUAGAGAAAGUUGACAAAUAAUAAUUACCAGAAGUUAAAACUGAACUGGAAAAAUCGUCCUCGAGUCGAGUGCGCUUUUUAUGAUUCUCUUAAUAUCCUACCCAUUGCAUAUCGCAAGAACUGUACAAGACAAACGACAUAGAAUUUCGGAUUCAAACACGAUCAUGUUCUACACUUUCGUCAAAAAUUUAUAAAUCUUCAAUGAAUCUAGUGCCGUAGGGUGACCUAUUACUUAAUGUUUAAACUAUCUAGAACCAGGGAUAUUUAAUUAAUGUGCCUAGCUACUGACAGUGCGAGUGAAAUAAACUUAAAAUAUGGAAACUGUUCCUACAAGCAAAGUAAGAUUAUGUUCGUUUUCCUGCUUUAGAAAAGUCAAGGCUAUUGAGAUCUUGUUAAAUAUACUUAAACGUUAGCAAUCAGAAAAUAAUUAGCCACAAAUUGACCUAUCUAGCAUUAAAUCUACUUUUCUAAUUGAUCCUGUCCAUCAUAACCUAACAAAGAUUUCCCAAAUUUUUUAUUAUCCUACUUAAAAAGCUUACGUCUAAUGUAGUGUCAGGCCUAGUGUAUUGUACUGCCUUAUUUUUAUGGCUCAGUUCAGCAACAUAAAACAUUUAUUUUUAAAUAAAAUUGAAUGCAAUCAAAGUGCUGACAAGAUGACAUUUCUAACUUUGUUUUAUACUGCCUAUUUAAUGUUAUUUUGAACCUUCACUACUCAUUUCUUAUUGCAAUAAGACUUACAAGCGAUGUGUAUCUUUUCAGCAGGCUGACAACUAUUGAAUGUGGUGUGGACAAGUCAUUACUGAAGAAAAAUAAGUUGAAAUUACACUGUGAGACUCCGUUUACUGAUUUUGAUGAAUCUUUCCUGAGCUUUAAGACAAACAGAGUCAACUCUGAUGGCUGCCUAUAUAUACCUAUACCUAGCGAUCUUGUGAUAUUUAUGCGGAGUGGAGCAAACUUCCAUUUGCUGUUUUCAUGGGCUUUUCCGAGUCUCUCGAUAAUCUCCAAUGCUAUUUGGGACAUUGUCCGAGCCACACAGCGAGUCUAUCAUCCACCUGACCUCAAUCUUUCUCCUGCUGACUGCUUCUAUUUAUGAAAGAUUAUGAAGAACCAGACCAUUCCAUACUCCUGUUCAAUGACUUUAUUUCACGACUUUUGCUGCAACAAUGGCUGCUGUCUUCUGACACUUGAAAGCUCCCAUUCAACGGCUCUAUUACAAGAAACAUGCUCCUACAUCAGCAGUGGUCUACAUUGAAUAUUACUGAUAGGGAAAAUUUCACUCAAGAUCUUCCUUUAUAUUAGGUAUCAAGGCGCAAGAAGGUGAAUUUAUAAUUGAUUAUUAUGUGAUGACAAUUCUUAGCUGAGGAAUAUGAAAAGAAUCCCUAACAACGGCGAGAAGAGAACGAGUAUCGAAGAUUGAUAAACUUAUUAAGUAGACAAUAACUCUAAGGUUUUUUCUAAGUAGAUAAUAACUAUGGAUUUUUUUUGUACAUAGUAAUAGUUUCAGAAAUAAACGUUAAGUUUCAUGAGUUUUAUUCAAAACACAAUAAAAAAAAACAGAGUCCAAAACUCAGUGCACCCACUCCAUCUCACGGCAACAAAAUGUAGCCUGAACGGCUACUUUUACUUUCUAUCCUAGGUGUCGGUUCCAUCAAAAUGUGACCAUUAAGGUUACGUUCUAUACUGGCCACUGCCUACCAAAAUGUAGCCUGAAUGGCUACUUUUACUAUUCUUAAUUUUAGAACCCUUGGUAUCCAAAAUGUGCCCCAAAAGUGGUACACUUUAGAUCCCUCGGUCACGGCACCAAAAUGUAACCUCCCCUACCCAACACCCCAAAUCUACCCCAUCUAUUAAACCCCGGACCUAAUAAAAUACUGUACCUAAUCGUUAACAAUCCCACCUUUAAAAUUACCCCUAAAAUUUACCCCAACAAUAAUUUUACCUUAACAAUUAUUUGGCCAAGUGAACGUCUAGUUAAAGGUUAGGACCCCUUGAAGCGAACCGCGGAACCCUAGAUUCUUUAAUGAGUAACAACUAAAUCUUGGACUCUGAUUCUACCUGAUUAAGUAUUACCUAGACGUUAAGACUCGGAAAUUUACUAUACUAAAUAAUUUAUUAUGUUGAGAGGAAAUAAUCGAUAGGAUAUUAUGUUAAAAUUCAACCUUCAGCAAAAUACCGUAAGAUUAAGUUAUUCCAAACCAUUUCUAUAUUAAAUAUGACACCUUAUAAGUAGAAUGAAAAUAUAUAACAAUCGACAAGGUAUGAGCAGUGUCGCGAUAAAGGAUAUGGGCUCCGCCCCCACGCGCAAGGUCGUAGACGACGGGUGUAGCCUUAAGUUACAGAAACUAUCAAUGAUUUUUGAUGUAAUGUAAGAUAUAUUUUUAAUAAUUAAUUAGAAAGAUAUUUAGUUAUUGCAGCAUAUAUGAUUAUAUAAAUAUAAAAAUAUUUUUGGUAAAAUCCUGCUACUCCUAUUAAGUCUUCGGGGUAACAUUGAAGCAGCACUCCUGGGAUAAGCCCAUUUACACACUAUUAUUUUAAGACUGAAUAUUAUUACCUAUUAUCUUCUAAACGAGAUGUGAAUGGAUCACACGUGCUGCCUCUAAUGCUAGAUGCAGGUCUGAAGACUCUUACUCCGAUUAGCAAUAUCAAUCGGGCCACCUACUCCUAUCUUAUUAGCCAGACGGGCUAUGACCAACGCUUCGCAACCCUAUACAAACCUAGGGGCUGACGAAGAGAAGCGAUAAGUAUUCGUCAGACACCAAUUACUUAUCUUUUAUAUCCAAAAGCUAAGGCUACUAAGCCAUUACCCAGUCCCCAUAGCUAUAAGUAGGCUGAAUUUCUAGGCCUUUCAAAUGUAUAAACGAAGUACAAGCUUAACUCAUUACUGUACUUUAUGAGAUCGAACUAUCAAGGUGAGUAUUAUUCCACUCAAAGAUUCCAAUGGACUGCGCUCGCCUGCCAAAGGGUCUCUAAAACAAACCAUUCUUUAAUCCCAGAAUAGUCUGUGUUCCUAAACCCAACUUGAUAUUUAAGGAUUGAAUAUAUAAAUACCUUAGGACCUGAUCGUAAUACUCAGUACUUCGCCUCUACACCAAAAACCCAGAAAUGAAAAUAAAUAGAUAUAAGAUGUUACAGAUAACCCUCAACUUUCCACUCAGAGUAACAGUCCGGAAGAUUUAGGUAAUUAAAAUCCAUUACCAGUAUUUCACUAAUAUUAUCAUUAGUACACGUUAUAAAACCAUAGCUUCACAUCAUUAGAACCUUUUGAAAGAUAUAUAUAUAUACACCAACCAAUCGAAUUUCUAGAUCAAACCUAAGAGAGACCCUAUAACAGUGUGUGUGACUCUACCCUAUUCCUACCCUUAGACCCUAAUCUAGUAUGUCCAGAACACAGAUCGUACUUACCAUUGAUCUAGUGAUUUGGAACAUACACAAAUGUAUCCCUAAGUCUAAGCUGUAAGCAUUCGGCCGACAAAACCGAGGUAUAGCAAACCCUAGUGUCUGUGUGAUUGGCCCCCUCCUCAUCGCCACGUGGGCACGGUGGAUGAGAAUAGACCGCCCUAGCAUGUCUAUAGGUAAUCAGCACACUAGCACACACACCCGUACCAGCCACAUGGGAUACCCUGCCAUGACUAAAACUUUAUCUGUGUUUGUUACCAAUCAUGACAGAAGCUCUCCCGUGACCAGCACUAGCAUGAGCCAGAGCACCGAAAUAUAUAAAUAUAUUUAAUACGAGACCUAGCCUCAAUUACUGCAGACUUCAGUGAGCAGAGAUUACUCUCAAUGGCACGCACGUGAUGCCCUCACAUUCAUCUAACAGCUGGACCUUGAGACUAAGGAGAGUAUGCUCGCCUCUUAUGUUGGUAAAGAAGAGACGCCAAGUCCUCUCAACUUGGAGCAAAAGACUUCUAAACAGCUGCAAUUUGACACCGUUAGGGAGCAGCUGAUUAGAUGGACAAACUGUUAGUCCAAACAGUGAUCUGGCUUUAUAAAAUAACAAACUAACCUCAUAGAAAGGUAAUAAAAUAACAAAAUUAGUUUUUACUAACAAAAAAAACUGACAAUAUAGUAACACAGAUAAGGAAGCAAAGAAUCUCCACCAUAGCCUAAGCUUAGCUUUACGACAACAUUGUCCCCGCAAUGCCAAACAUAGACACAAUUUACAAGUUUAAAUUUACCAGGAUAAUUCCCAGCAAACACAAACAAAUAGAAGGAAUAGUAGAGAAACUUUACUUACUCAAAGCCAGAGAUACCGCCAGUCCGAUUGUUAAAGAAUGAAUAAUCCUCCCUCCGUACUUUCCGGCCCUUUUAUAUACUUUAGUAGCGACAUAACAGCGACAUAACGGCGACUAGCGACAUAAUAGCGACAUAACAGCGACAUAUUGGCGACUAGCGACAUAAUAGCGACAUAUUGGCGACAUAACGGCGACAUAAUAGCGACAUAUCGGCGACAUAAUAGCGACAUAACGGCGACAUAGU